GCCCGGGUAGCUCAAUUGGUCAGAGCGUCGGACUUUUAAAAAUUUAAAUUCUCAUUUUCCAAUCUAAAAGGAAAGGAGUGGGAAGGAAAAAAAAGGUCCAUCCGAAGGUUGGGGGUUCGAGACCCCCCUCGGGCG
rnacentral:tRNA from 1 species